rnacentral:rRNA from 1 species
GCUCGAGUGGCGAACGGGUGAGUAACACGUGAGUAACCUGCCUUUGACUUUGGGAUAACUUCAGGAAACUGGGGCUAAUACCGGAUAGGAGCUCCUGCUGCAUGGUGGGGGUUGGAAAGUUUCGGCGGUUGGGGAUGGACUCGCGGCUUAUCAGCUUGUUGGUGGGGUAGUGGCUUACCAAGGCUUUGACGGGUAGCCGGCCUGAGAGGGUGACCGGCCACAUUGGGACUGAGAUACGGCCCAG